AUAUAUAUAUAUAUAUAAUAUAAAGUUCAGUUCAUGUGUUAAUACCACUUGUUUUUCGUCUGCUGCAAUUUUUUCUUUCUCCGCAAUCUCUAGUGUUGGAUCCUACAGGCAUAAUGGGUCGGUUAAGUCGGACUAUCUAUGUGGGCAAUCUUCCUGGUGAUAUUCGUGAGAGAGAAGUAGAAGAUUUGUUUUACAAGUAUGGGCAUAUCGUGGAAAUUGAGUUGAAAGUUCCUCCUAGACCACCUGGUUAUGCAUUUGUAGAGUUUGAAGAUUCUCGUGAUGCUGAUGAUGCCAUCCGUGGGCGCGAUGGCUAUGACUUUGAUGGACAUCGAUUACGAGUUGAACUUGCUCACGGUGGGCAAGGAUCAUCAUCAUAUGAUCGCCACAGCAGUUAUAGUAGUGGGAGUCGUGGUGGAGUUUCUAGGCGCUCAGACCAUCGCGUUCUGAUCUCUGGACUACCAUCUUCUGCUUCAUGGCAAGACUUGAAGGAUCACAUGCGCCGAGCAGGAGAUGUCUGUUUCUCUCAAGUUUUUCGAGGCCGUGACGGUAUGAGGGGGAUUGUGGACUAUACCAACUAUGAAGAUAUGAAAUAUGCGAUAAGGAAACUUGAUGACUCUCUCUUUCGCAAUCAGUUCUCUCGAGCGUAUAUUAGGGUGGAGGAGUAUGAUAAGAGACGUAGCUAUUCCAGGAGCCCAAGCCCAUAUUAUUCAAGAGGCAGAGUUUAUUCAAGAAGCAGGAGUCCUCGACGGAGCUAUAGCAGCCAGAGAGAAGUGUGUCUCCUAGGGGUAAAUACUCUCGUCGCUCCGCGUCUGUCUCACGCUCAAGGUCUUUUUCCCCUGCUCGCUCUGUUUCUAGAUCUUGCAUUUCGUGGCGAUCUGGGGAUUGCUUUUUAGGCAGGUGAUGUCCAAUGGUGCUCAAAUUCAGGCAACUCGCUUGGAUGUGGCAGUAAUCUGUUUUAGUGGAUGAGCACCUCUGGUAAACUCAGGAUGGUAAACUGUAUUUUAAUAUGGUAUUAAGGUGGAUCUUACUCAAAGCAAUAUAUCAAAUUGUUUUUGGGCUAAUCCCGAGGGUUCUGAACGUGGGAACACUAUUGAAUAGACAAAUAAAAACUUAAUUUGUUUUUUAGAGCGUGGGGGGCGGUGCAUGCAUUUGUAUGGUAUGACCUCACAACUUGGACGGACAAUCUCCAGGAAGUGCGUUGCGAUUGGUUUUUGUUUCAAUUUGAUCAUGUUGGUUGAUUGAUAUUAUAGAUUGCUGGCAGCUGUUGCUAACUACUUUGAUUGUGGACGUGGAAGUAGCAUGGAUUCAUUUGGAUCAAAGAUCUCAAUCACGAUCCAGAUCUCCACUGUCACCUCCACAUCGUCGGAGGCAUGCAAGGAGCCCAAGCAGGAGUCGGAGCAGGAGCUUCUCUUAUUCUCGUUCAUCGGGGAUAUCCGACUGAGACUUUCCAAGAAACAAAGGGCAAACUGAAGCCAAAUUCAGUAGUACUUUGCAGACUUGUUGGAUGUUAAGGGAAUUGGCUUUUAGCUUAAUGUUUACUUUCGUUAAAUUCUUCAGUUGUCACAUUUAGAAAUCAAGCUUUGAGUUCUAGCUAGCUAGUUGCACUUCCUAGAAACUGUUUUGGGUUAAUAGCCAUGUAUGCCUUUUGAACUGCUGAGUGAAAAUUGAGGACGAUUAAUAUGUGUUAUAUUUUAUCUGUGAUUGUCACCCA